rnacentral:rRNA from 1 species
GUGCCAGCCGCCGCGGUAAUACGGAGGGUGCAAGCGUUAUCCGGAUUCACUGGGUUUAAAGGGUGCGUAGGAGGGCAGGUAAGUCAGUGGUGAAAUCUCCAAGCUUAACUUGGAAACUGCCGUUGAUACUAUCUGUCUUGAAUAUUGUGGAGGUGAGCGGAAUAUGUCAUGUAGCGGUGAAAUGCUUAGAUAUGACAUAGAACACCAAUUGCGAAGGCAGCUCACUACACAAUCAUUGACUCUGAGGCACGAAAGCGUGGGGAUCAAACAGGAUUAGAUACCCCCGUAGUCC